GCAACCGUGGUGCAGUGGUUUAGCAUUCCAGCCUUCCAAGCUGGGGACCUGGGUUCGAACCCCGGCGGUUGCA